rnacentral:rRNA from 1 species
GACGAACGCUGGCGGCGUGCCUAAUACAUGCAAGUCGAGCGCUUCUUUUCCCACCGGAGCUUGCUCCACCGGGAAAAGAGGAGUGGCGAACGGGUGAGUAACACGUGGGUAACCUGCCCAUCAGAAGGGGAUAACACUUGGAAACAGGUGCUAAUACCGUAUAACAAUCGAAACCGCAUGGUUUCGUUUUGAAAGGCGCUUUACGGUGCCGCUGAUGGAUGGACCCGCGGUGCAUUAGCUAGUUGGUGAGGUAACGGCUCACCAAGGCCACGAUGCAUAGCCGACCUGAGAGGGUGAUCGGCCACAUUGGGACUGAGACACGGCCCAAACUCCUACGGGAGGCAGCAGUAGGGAAUCUUCGGCAAUGGACGAAAGUCUGACCGAGCAACGCCGCGUGAGUGAAGAAGGUUUUCGGAUCGUAAAACUCUGUUGUUAGAGAAGAACAAGGGUGAGAGUAACUGUUCACCCCUUGACGGUAUCUAACCAGAAAGCCACGGCUAACUACGUGCCAGCCGCCGCGGUAA